CAGGAGUAAUAAAAUAGGCUUCUCCAGAUGAGCUCUGAGAUAAAAAUGGAAAAAAUUCCAUAAAACUGUGGGUGUCAGCAGAAUAUUAUUCAGCUCUGAUAACAUGAAAAAUGACCAGGCCCUAAUAUCCUAGAAUAUCUUGAUAGAUUAAUAUUUGUUCGUGUAAAAAAAAAGCAAUAAUAUAAUGACUUAUUUAAAUGCUGAAACUGAGACUUUGAAAAUUUUAAUAAACAUUUAAACA